rnacentral:rRNA from 1 species
UACGGAGGGGGCUAGCGUUAUUCGGAAUUACUGGGCGUAAAGCGCACGUAGGCGGACUGGAAAGUCAGAGGUGAAAUCCCAGGGCUCAACCUUGGAACGGCCUUUGAAACUCCCAGUCUUGAGAUCGUGAGAGGUGAGUGGAAUUCCGAGUGUAGAGGUGAAAUUCGUAGAUAUUCGGAGGAACACCAGUGGCGAAGGCGGCUCACUGGCACGAUACUGACGCUGAGGUGCGAAAGCGUGGGGAGCAAACAGG